UACGGAGGGGGCUAGCGUUGUUCGGAAUUACUGGGCGUAAAGGGCUCGUAGGUGGCCAACUAAGUCGGACGUGAAAUCCCUCGGCUUAACCGGGGAACUGCGUCCGAUACUGGUUGGCUUGAGUUUGGGAGAGGGAUGCGGAAUUCCUGGUGUAGCGGUGAAAUGCGCAGAUAUCAGGAGGAACACCAGUGGCGAAGGCGGGUCUCUGGGCAGUAACUGACGCUGAGGAGCGAAAGCGUGGGGAGCGAACAGG
rnacentral:rRNA from 1 species